AAAACAUGUCUACUUGAAGAUGUAAGUAGUCAGGCCUGCUCACUGACUGAAUUUGUUUAAGAGCCGCGGUAUUCUGACCGUGCAAAGGUAGCAUAAUCAUUAGUUUUUUAAUUGAAAACUGGUAUGAAAGGUUAGACAAGAAAAAAGCUGUUUCAAUUAUAAUUUUUGAAUUUAACUUUUAAGUGAAAAGGCUUAAAUUACUUAGAGGGACGAUAAGACCCUAUAAAGCUUUAUACAAAUAUUAAAGUUGAUUGAAGUUGUAUUAAAAGUUAAUAGUAAGUAAUGUAUUUUGUUGGGGCGACAUAAGUAUAAUUUUUAUAACUGCUUAUAUUUUAUAAUCAUUUAUUAAUGGAUAAAUUUUAGAUGACCUUAUAUUAUAGAUUUAAAGAUUAAGUUACUUUAGGGAUAACAGCGUUAUUUUACUUGAGAGUUCCUAUCGAAAGUGAAGUUUGCGACCUCGAUGUUGAAUUAAAGUUUCUGUAUAAUGCAGCUGUUAUAUAAGAAGGUCUGUUCGACCUUUAAAUUUUUACGUGA
rnacentral:rRNA from 1 species